rnacentral:rRNA from 1 species
UUAUGCGCCAUGGAUGAGCCCGCACUUGAUUAGUUUGUUGGUAGGGUAAUGGCCUACCAAGGCUUUGAUCAAUAGCUGAUCUGAGAGGAUGAUCAGCCACAUUGGGACUGAGACACGGCCCAAACUCCUACGGGAGGCAGCAGUAGGGAAUAUUGCACAAUGGAGGAAACUCUGAUGCAGCGAUGCCGCGUGAGUGAAGAAGGCCUUUGGGUUGUAAAGCUCUUUCGUCGGGGAAGAAAAUGACUGUACCCGAAUAAGAAGGUCCGGCUAACUUCGUGCCAGCAGCCGCGGUAAUACGAAGGGACCUAGCGUAGUUCGGAAUUACUGGGCUUAAAGAGUUCGUAGGUGGUUGAAAAAGUUGGUUGUGAAAUCCCGGAGCUUAACUCCGGAACUGCAAUCAAAACUUUUCAGCUAGAGUAUGAUAGAGGAAAGCAGAAUUUCUAGUGUAGAGGUGAAAUUCGUAGAUAUUAGAAAGAAUACCAAUUGCGAAGGCAGCUUUCUGGAUCAUUACUGACACUGAGGAACGAAAGCAUGGGUAGCGAAGAGGAUUAGAUACCCUCGUAGUCCAUGCCGUAAACGAUGUGUGUUAGACGUUGGAAAUUUAUUUUCAGUGUCGCAGCGAAAGCAUUAAACACACCGCCUGGGGAGUACGACCGCAAGGUUAAAACUCAAAUGAAUUGACGGGGACCCGCACAAGUAGUGGAGCAUGUGGUUUAAUUCGAAGAUACGCGCAGAACCUUACCAACACUUGACAUGUUCGUCGCGACUUUAAGAGAUUAAAGUUUUCGGUUCGGCCGGACGAAACACAGGUGCUGCAUGGCUGUCGUCAGCUCGUGUCGUGAGAUGUUGGGUUAAGUCCCGCAACGAGCGCAACCCUCACUUUUAGUUGCCAUCAUUUAGUUGGGCACUCUGAAAGAACUGCCAG